rnacentral:rRNA from 1 species
GACGAACGCUGGCGGCGUGCUUAACACAUGCAAGUCACGGGGGUCCCGCAAGGGAUAACCGGCGAACGGGUGCGUAACACGUGAACAACCUGCCCUCGUGUGGGGGGAUAGCCGGGCUAACGCCCGGGUAAUACCGCAUACGGUCCUUGGGGGGAGGUCCCCUCGGGGAAGGAAAGACUCCGGCGCACGGGGAGGGGUUCGGCGGCCUAUCAGCUAGUUGGCGAGGUAACGGCUCACCAAGGCAACGACGGGUAGCUGGUCUGAGAGGAUGGCCAGCCACAUUGGGACUGAGAUACGGCCCAGACUCCUACGGGAGGCAGCAGUGGGGAAUCUUGCGCAAUGGCCUAACGGCUGACGCAGCGACGCCGCGUGUGGGAUGAAGCUCUUCGGAGUGUAAACCACUGUU